rnacentral:rRNA from 1 species
GUGAGGAAUAUUGGUCAAUGGGCGAGAGCCUGAACCAGCCAAGUAGCGUGAAGGAUGAAGGUCCUAUGGAUUGUAAACUUCUUUUAUAGUAGAAUAAAGUGAUCCACGUGUGGAUUUUUGUAUGUAUACUAUGAAUAAGGAUCGGCUAACUCCGUGCCAGCAGCCGCGGUAAUACGGAGGAUCCGAGCGUUAUCCGGAUUUAUUGGGUUUAAAGGGUGCGUAGGCGGAAUAAUAAGUCAGUUGUGAAAGUUUGCGGCUCAACCGUAAAAUUGCAGUUGAUACUGUUAUUCUUGAGUGUACAUAAGGUAGGCGGAAUUCGUGGUGUAGCGGUGAAAUGCUUAGAUAUCACGAAGAACUCCAAUUGCGAAGGCAGCUUACCGGGGUACAACUGACGCUGAGGCACGAAAGUGUGGGUAUCAAACAGGAUUAGAUACCCGAGUAGUCC